CCUACGGGAGGCAGCAGUGGGGAAUAUUGGACAAUGGGGGCAACCCUGAUCCAGCCAUGCCGCGUGUGUGAAGAAGGCCCUCGGGUUGUAAAGCACUUUCAGUGAGGAAGAACGCCUGGUGGUUAAUACCCAUCAGGAAAGACAUCACUCACAGAAGAAGCACCGGCUAACUCCGUGCCAGCAGCCGCGGUAAUACGGAGGGUGCGAGCGUUAAUCGGAAUUACUGGGCGUAAAGCGCGCGUAGGUGGCUUGAUAAGCCGGUUGUGAAAGCCCCGGACUCAACCUGGGAACGGCAUCCGGAACUGUCAAGCUAGAGUGCAGGAGAGGAAGGUAGAAUUCCCGGUGUAGCGGUGAAAUGCGUAGAGAUCGGGAGGAAUACCAGUGGCGAAGGCGGCCUUCUGGACUGACACUGACACUGAGGUGCGAAAGCGUGGGUAGCAAACAGGAUUAGAUACCCGUGUAGUC
rnacentral:rRNA from 1 species